AACGCGAAGAACCUUACCUACCCUUGACAUCCUAAGAAUCUUGUAGAGAUACGAGAGUGCCGAAAGGAACUUAGAGACAGGUGCUGCAUGGCUGUCGUCAGCUCGUGUUGUGAGAUGUUGGGUUAAGUCCCGUAACGAGCGCAACCCUUAUCCUUAGUUGCCAACAUGUAAUGGUGGGGACUCUAAGGAGACUGCUGGUGAUGAACCGGAGGAAGGCGGGGACGACGUCAAGUCAUCAUGGCCUUUAUGGGUAGGGCUACACACGUGCUACAAUGGUCGGUACAGAGGGAAGCGAAGCCGCGAGGUGAAGCGAAUCCCGGAAAGCCGAUCGUAGUCCGGAUUGAAGUCUGCAACUCGACUUCAUGAAGUCGGAAUCGCUAGUAAUCGCGAAUCAGAAUGUCGCGGUGAAUACGUUCCCGGGCCUUGUACACACCGGACACGC
rnacentral:rRNA from 1 species